rnacentral:sRNA from 1 species
AAUCAAAGAAGUUCGGCUACCCCCGGCACGUCCUGUGCCAACGGCGAACUGACCUACAUCCUGCAGG